rnacentral:rRNA from 1 species
CAGUAGCCACGGGAAUACGAAGGGUGCAAGCGUUACUCGGAAUUACUGGGCGUAAAGCGUGCGUAGGUGGUGGUUUAAGUCCGUUGUGAAAGCCCUGGGCUCAACCUGGGAAUUGCAGUGGAUACUGGGUCACUAGAGUGUGGUAGAGGAUAGUGGAAUUUCCGGUGUAGCGGUGAAAUGCGUAGAGAUCGGGAGGAACAUCAGUGGCGAAGGCGGCCAUCUGGGACAACACUGACGCUGAGGCACGAAAGCGUGGGGAGCAAACAGGAUUAGAUACCCGCGUAGUCCCUGUCUCUUAUAC